GUAGGUUUCAUUCUGAGGUUUCUUUUCUUGCCUUGUUGACGGCUACCACCUUGCUGUGUGCUGGCCUGGCCUUUCCUCAUGUGUGUGCAUGAAGAGAGAGAGGAAGCAAGCUCUCCUGUGUCUAAGGACACUGAUCCCAUUGGACUAGGACUCCAACUCAUGACCUUAUCUCACCCUAGUUACCUUCCAAAGACCUCGUCUCUAAAUACCAUCACAUUGCGGAUCACUCUCCCUGGGGAAGUCACCCACCACGCCAUGAGGAUGCUCAAGCAGCCCUGUGGAGAGGUGCACUUGCUGGGGAACUAAGGCCAUCCACCAGCUUGUCAACCAUGUGAAUGAGCCGUCUUGGAAGUGGCUCCUCCGGCUCCAGCCAAGCCUUAAGAUAAACCGAACUAUACUCCCAGCACCAACAUCCUCACUAGAGACACUGAACUGGAAUCACUGAGAUAAUAGUAUUGACUUCAUAAGUUAACAAAGAGCUGCUCUUGAUUCCUGACCCACAUAAAGUGUGUGAAAAAAAUAAAUGUUUAUUAUUGUUUUAA